AUUAUUUUGUUCAAAACGAUGUCGUUUUGAGUGAAAUAACUCAUUUUUAAAAAAAUGAACAAUAGUUAAUCGGUCGACUAAGCGACCUAGUCGGUGCCUAGGAGGCCUAGGCGAUCAGCGCCUAAGCGGCCUAUGCAGCGCUUAGGCGGCCUAGUCGCCUGCCUAGCCGGUCAGCCGCCUAGACCACCGGUUAUGGUGAUAUGCUAGGCGCCCGGCCAACACCUAGCGCCGAUUAAUUGGUGCCUAGGCGGGAUUUUUGCAACACUUGUAGGUAGGAAAGCAG